UUCCUACGGGUGGCAGCAGUGGGGAAUAUUGCACAAUGGGGGAAACCCUGAUGCAGCGACGCCGCGUGGAGGAUGACGGCCUUCGGGUUGUAAACUCCUUUUGUCAGGGACAAUGGUGAUGGUACCUGACGAAUAAGCCACGGCUAACUCUGUGCCAGCAGCCGCGGUAAGACAGAGGUGGCGAGCGUUGUUCGGAAUUACUGGGCUUAAAGGGCGCGUAGGCGGUGGUGUAAGUCUGGGGUGGAAUGCUACAGCUCAACUGUAGAGCUGCCUUGGAAACUGCAUUACUUGAGGCGGUGAGGGGAAGGCGGAAUUCCUGGUGUAGCGGUGAAAUGCGUAGAUAUCAGGAGGAAGGUCUGUGGCGAAGGCGGCCUUCUGGCACUUGACUGACGCUGAGGCGCGAAAGCGUGGGGAGCAAACAGGAUUAGAUACCCUUGUAGUCACC
rnacentral:rRNA from 1 species